CGAUUAAGCCAUGCAAGUCGAGAGUCGCAAGGACUCGGCGGACCGCUCAGUAACACGCGGAUAACAUGCCCUUGGGUGGGGGAUAACCUCGGGAAACUGAGAAUAAUACCCCAUAGAUCUAGAAAGCUGGAAUGCUUCAAGAUCGAAAACUCCGGUGCCCAAGGAUUGGUCUGCGGCGUAUCAGGUUGUAGUGGGUGUAACGGACCCCCUAGCCUAUGACGCGUAAGGGCCUUGAGAGAGGGAGCCCUGAGAUGGACUCUGAGACAUGAGUCCAGGCCCUACGGGGCGCAGCAGUCGCGAAAACUUCACAAUGGGGGAAACCCCGAUGAGGGAAUUCCAAGUGCCAGCACAUUGUGUUGGCUGUUCUCUGGUCUAAAAAACCGGAGAAGUAAGGGCCGGGUAAGACGGGUGCCAGCCGCCGCGGUAAUACCCGCGGCCCAAGUGGUGGUCGAUAUUAUUGAGCCUAAAACGUCCGUAGCCGGUCUUGUAAAUCCUUGGGUAAAUCGACCAGCUCAACUGUUCGAAGUCCGGGGAGACCGCAAGACUUGGGAUCGGGAGAGGUGAGAGGUACUUCUGGGGUAGGGGUAAAAUCCUGUAAUCCUAGAAGGACCACCGGUGGCGAAGGCGUCUCACUAGAACGAAUCCGACGGUGAGGGACGAAGCCCUGGGGCGCAAACGGGAUUAGAUACCCCGGUAGUCCAGGGUGUAAACGCUGCGGGCUUGGUGUUGGGGGUCCUUUGAGGGCGCCCAGUGCCGGAGAGAAGUUGUUAAGCCUGCUGCUUGGGGAGUACGUCCGCAAGGAUGAAACUUAAAGGAAUUGGCGGGGGAGCA
rnacentral:rRNA from 1 species